rnacentral:rRNA from 1 species
CCUACGGGUGGCAGCAGUGGGGAAUAUUGGACAAUGGGGGGAACCCUGAUCCAGCCAUGCCGCGUGUGUGAAGAAGGCCCUCGGGUUGUAAAGCACUUUCAGUGAGGAAGAACGCCUGGUGGUUAAUACCCAUCAGGAAAGACAUCACUCACAGGAGAAGCACCGGCUAACUCCGUGCCAGCAGCCGCGGUAAUACGGAGGGUGCGAGCGUUAAUCGGAAUUACUGGGCGUAAAGCGCGCGUAGGUGGCUUGAUAAGCCGGUUGUGAAAGCCCCGGGCUCAACCUGGGAACGGCAUCCGGAACUGUCAAGCUAGAGUGCAGGAGAGGAAGGUAGAAUUCCCGGUGUAGCGGUGAAAUGCGUAGAGAUCGGGAGGAAUACCAGUGGCGAAGGCGGCCUUCUGGACUGACACUGACACUGAGGUGCGAAAGCGUGGGUAGCAAACAGGAUUAGAUACCCGUGUAGUC